AUUCCUUCAUUUUCUCCUUUUGGUUGGCCGAAAGUUUGAGAGAGGGAGAGAGAGAGAGAGAGAAACUUCAUUCUUCUUGAAAUUCUUGAAGAUCCAAACAUCUCUUUCACCAAUCUACUUGAACUUUUGGGAGAUCUUGAGAGAAAAAGGCUCCUAGGAGUGGAUCUUGCCAUCUUCUUGGAUUAAUUUUGCUAGAGUUUGGAGCUUUGAAGAGGUAAGUGGCUAAUCUACUUCAUUCUUUUGCUUUUCAAGCAAUUUUGGACUAGAUUUUGGUAGAUUUAUAGUAUUUAUGAAAAACCUAUGGUGGAUUUGAAAGUUUUAUGAAAAUUUGGUACUAGAUGCUUUAAUGAUCUUGGUAUGCUUAGAUCUUGAUAUACUUGGCUAGAAUUUGGUGGAUUCUUGUCUCUUGAGAUCCUAGGGUUAAUGAUUGAUGAAACCCUUGAGGAUUGAGUGUGAUUUAUGGUGGAUUGUUGGUGAAAAUUGGAGUAUAUGUAUGCUGAAAUUUCUAUUUAGAUGACCAAUUAUCAUGGGCAAAAUUUUAGCUUUACCUUCCUUGAAUUUGUGGCUUGUUUGUACACUUGUGCUGGAAAAAUUUUAGGAAAUUUGAUGCUACUUGACUCUAUGUAUGUUGGUUGAAGUAUAUUGAAAAAUUUGUAAGAAAAUGAAAUGGUGAUGUGGGUUAUCUUGUUGGAAAAAGUAAAGUUGCAAAAGCUGGAAAAAUGGCCUAAGCUGGCAGAAUUUUUGAGCUAAAACUCCAGUUUUAAUUUUCUAUUUUAAAAACUGUUUUGGGUGGAAUUUAACUCAAAAGGUUAUAUUGGACUUUGAUCUUGGUAUGUAUAAUGAUUUUGGAUCAAAAUUUUGAAGUUAAAAGGGGGGAAAGCAAGAUUUCCUCCAAAGUUUAGUGGUUGACAACUUUAUGGACUGAUUUGACUUUGGAUCCUUGUUUUCAUGAAGUUUUGGUUGGUUUAGUUCAAGAAACCUUAUUUAACUUUGAUUCUUGUUUGUGAGAUGAUUUUGGGACAGAAAUUACGAAUGUAAGUAAUUGAAAAGUGGACUUUUGAUAUGAUUUGCUUGCUAGAAAACUAUUGGAGGAUUGGAAAGUCUUGUCCAAACUUUUGAAAUACUUUUGGUCAAAUGGAAAGUUGUAUUUUUUUACCUGAAUUGUCGAUUUGAAAGCUUGAAUGGGUUGAAGUGUCUAGGACACUAAAGUUGACUAAUUUGAAAACAAAGUUUUCGUACUUAAGUGAGUUGAUUUGGUGAACACUAAAGGUUCACUUAUAUGUUGUAUUUGUCUGUCAAGGUUGCAAAUUGAACGUGCAGGUGAUAUUUCUGUGGACACUUAAGUGCUAUUUGGAGAGUGUUCUAAGUGCGUGGUAGUACUAUAUAUAUAUGCUUGAUAUGUCAAUGAGAUUGAAAAAAGUGAUAUGACUAUGAACUGUCAUUUUGAACUUGUUUAUGAACGGGCGAGUGUGUACUAUAUCGGGCUUGACCCUACAGAAUUAUUAUUGCUAUAAGUGAAUGUAAUAUGAUAUUAUUGUUAUAUGCGGGCCCCAAAACCCAUGGCUAGUUAUUCAAGGUUGAGCCGGCAAGGGUUUGGUCAACUCAAUUAGCGAACCUUGGGUAGUGUAUAUGUGUUGAUCCAUACUGUAUUGGGUAUACUUGAGUAAUACCAAUCACUGAAAUUUUGUUGGUGUGCGGGUCAGGUAAGGGGUGAAAGGUGGACGGAGUGGUGUGAAGUGGCGCUUCUACAUGGACAUGAAAGUUGACGGAGUAUCAACUACUUGAAUUACUUAUUGAUCGAGUGUUUGCCAGUAUUCAGUAUCCUUAAUGAUUGACAUGUCGAUUUUUUUUUAUGAUGUGCUUAAAUGAUACCUCUUGUUUAUGUUUCUUGUUGACUUAAAUAUGUGAAAUAAUUACUUUCUUAAAUUGCAUGUCUUUCUUAGACCUCAAUGGGCGCAAGCUCAUACCUUUCCUUUUGUUUUCCUUAACAAGGUUGGUUCAUGAUUCGGGGAAUUAGCACUUAACUUUUGUUUUAGUUAGACUAACUGAUUAGGGUACUAUAUUAUUUUGAAGAUGAAUUGUAAGCUUAAACUCUCUUUUGUAUUUUAAGUUGCUUCGACAGACAACUGUAUGUAUUAGUUGUAUUUAGCGUAUUUUGUGGUAAGAUUAGAUAUUGAGUUUGAUUUUGUGGUUUGUUAAUGAAUCCUGGCGAGAGUUAGGUAGACAGCUUGCUGAUACAUUUGGGUACGCCCUUG
rnacentral:lncRNA from 1 species